GAAGGCUGAGGCUGGGCUGUUAAGGAUGGAGCCAGGGGAUAAUGAAUACAAUACAGGUGCUGGGGUUUAGCUCGGGUUAUGAUGAGGUGUCAGAAAAGCACAUUACCAUGGCAGGGGGUUCUCUCCCCUUCUUUCUCUCUGGAACACACAGGCACACACAGAUACACACAGAUAUACGCACAGACAUGCCGGAACGUAGACACACACACACACACACACACACACACACACACACACACACACACACACACACACACACGCACACAGAUAGACGCAGACAUGCAUGAACGAAGGCGUACACACACACACACAGCCAAGCAUGUUCUCUUUCACACACACACUCUCUCUCUUCUCACUCUCUCAGCAAAAUAAUGUUGAAGUAAUACGGAGCAGUGCAUUGCAGAGGUGCAUGAUUUGUAAUACAUUUAGACAGUCAUUUUGUCAAUUGGAAUUGGUUGUGAUUCAUCAAUUCUGUGAAAUAUUACAGUAUGUCAUUUUGCCUUCAUGUACAAUUAAGAAUUUUCUCUUUAAAACGAGGACUAUAAUAUCUUAAUAUGUCCCAGCUACUUGCAUUUCUGGCAAUCAAUGUAGCAAAAGUAGCUCAUCCAUCACUACGUUUCAGACGAUACAGGAUAGCUAUGGUGUGGUGCAUGUUAUGAUGGCUGCAUUACUAGCCAGCAUCCUCUUAGCUUGUCUUUGUUGUGUUGAGGAUGGGGUUGUUUAACAUGAUGUUUCUGUCUUUGUUGUGUUGAGGAUGGGGUUGUUUAACAUGAUGUAUCUGUCUUUGUUGUGUUGAGGAUGGGGUUGUUUAACAUGAUGUAUCUGUCUUUGUUGUGUUGAGGAUGGGGUUGUUUAACAUGAUGUUUCUGUCUUUGUUGUGUUGAGGAUGGGGUUGUUUAACAAGCUGUGUCUGUCUUUGUUGUGUUGAGGAUGGAGGUUGUUUAACAUGAUGUUUCUGUCUUUGUUGUGUUGAGGAUGGGGGUUGUUUAACAUGAUGUUUCUGUCUUUGUUGUGUUGAGGAUGGAGGUUGUUUAACAUGAUGUUUCUGUCUUUGUUGUGUUGAGGAUGGGGUUGUUUAACAUGAUGUUUCUGUCUUUGUUGUGUUGAGGAUGGGGUUGUUUAACAAGCUGUUUCUGUCUUUGUUGUGUUGAGGAUGGGGUUGUUUAACAAGCUGUUUCUGUCUUUGUUGUGUUGAGGAUGGGGUUGUUUAACAUGAUGUUUCUGUCUUUGUUGUGUUGAGGAUGGGGGUUGUUUAACAUGAUGUUUCUGUCUUUGUUGUGUUGAGGAUGGGGUUGUUUUACAUGAUGUAUCUUUCUUUGUUGUGUUGAGGAUGGGGUUGUUUAACAUGAUGUUUCUGUCUUUGUUGUGUUGAGGUUGGGGUUGUUUAACAAGCUGUUUCUGUCUUUGUUGUGUUGAGGAUGGGGUUGUUUAACAUUAUGUUUCUGUCUUUGUUGUGUUGAGGAUGGAGGUUGUUUAACAAGCUGUUUCUGUUUUUGUUGUGUUGAGGAUGGAGGUUGUUUAACAUGCUGUUUCUGUCUUUGUUGGUUUGAGGAUGGGGGUUGUUUAACAUGAUGUUUCUGUCUUUGUUGUGUUAAGGAUUGGGGUUGUUUAACAAGCUGUUUCUGUCUUUGUUGUGCUGAGGAUGGGGUUGUUUAACAUGAUGUAUCUGUCUUUGUUGUGUUGAGGAUGGGGUUGUUUAACAUGAUGUUUCUGUCUUUGUUGUGUUGAGCAUGGGGUUGUUUAACAUGAUGUUUCUGUCUUUGUUGUGGUGAGGAUGGGGUUGUUUAACAUGAUGUGUCUGUCUUUGUUGUGUUGAGGAUGGGGUUGUUUAACAUGCUGUUUCUGUCUUUGUUGUGUUGAGGAUGGGGUUGUUUAACGUGAUGUAUCUGUCUUUGUUGUGUUGAGGAUGGGGUUGUUUAACAUGAUGUUUCUGUCUUUGUUGUGUUGAGCAUGGGGUUGUUUAACAUGAUGUUUCUGUCUUUGUUGUGUUGAGGAUGGAGGUUGUUUAACAUGAUGUUUCUGUCUUUGUUGUGUUGAGGAUGGGGUUGUUUAACAUGAUGUUUCUGUCUUUGUUGUGUUGAGGAUGGGGUUGUUUAACAUGAUGUUUCUGUCUUUGUUGUGUUGAGGAUGGGGGUUGUUUAACAUGAUGUUUCUGUCUUUGUUGUGUUGAGGAUGGGGUUGUUUAACAUGAUGUUUCUGUCUUUGUUGUGUUGAGGAUGGGGUUGUUUAACAUGAUGUUUCUGUCUUUGUUGUGUUGAGGAUGGGGUUGUUUAACAAGCUGUUUCUGUCUUUGUUGUGUUGAGGAUGGAGGUUGUUUAACAUGAUGUUUCUGUCUUUGUUGUGUUGAGGAUGGGGUUGUUUAACAUGAUGUUUCUGUCUUUGUUGUGUUGAGGAUGGGGUUGUUUAACAUGCUGUUUCUGUCUUUAUUGUGUUGAGGAUGGGGUUGUUUAACAUGAUGUUUCUGUCUUUGUUGUGUUGAGCAUGGGGUUGUUUAACAUGAUGUUUCUGUCUUUGUUGUGUUGAGGAUGGAGGUUGUUUAACAUGAUGUUUCUGUCUUUGUUGUGUUGAGGAAGGGGGUUUGUUUAACAUGAUGUUUCUGUCUUUGUUGUGGUGAGGAUGGGGUUGUUUAACAUGAUGUUUCUGUCUUUGUUGUGUUGAGUAUGGAGGUUGUUUAACAUGAUGUUUCUGUCUUUGUUGUGUUGAGGAUGGGGGUUGUUUAACAUGAUGUUUCUGUCUUUGUUGUGGUGAGGAUGGGGUUGUUUAACAAGCUGUUUCUGUCUUUGUUGUGUUGAGGAUGGAGGUUGUUUAACAUGAUGUUUCUGUCUUUGUUGUGUUGAGGAUGGGGUUGUUUAACAUGAUGUUUCUGUCUUUGUUGUGUUGAGGAUGGGG
rnacentral:lncRNA from 1 species